rnacentral:rRNA from 1 species
GAGGAAUAUUGGUCAAUGGGCGGAAGCCUGAACCAGCCAUGCCGCGUGCAGGAAGACGGCCCUACGGGUUGUAAACUGCUUUUCCGGGGGAAGAAUAACCCCGACGUGUCGGGAGACGACGGUACCCCGGGAAUAAGGAUCGGCUAACUCCGUGCCAGCAGCCGCGGUAAUACGGAGGAUCCGAGCGUUAUCCGGAUUUACUGGGUUUAAAGGGUGCGUAGGCGGGCGCUUAAGGCGGCGGUGAAAUGCGGGGGCUCAACCUUCGAACGGCCGUUGAUACUGGGCGCCUUGGAUUCGGUCGAGGCGGGCGGAAUGCGACAUGUAGCGGUGAAAUGCUUAGAUAUGUCGCAGAACGCCGAUUGCGAAGGCAGCUCGCCGGGCCGAUAUUGACGCUGAGGCACGAAAGCGUGGGGAUCGAAC